AACCCAUUAGUUCAGUUGGUAGAACGGCGGACGUAAUCCGUGUGUCACAAGUUCGAUUCUUGUAUGGGUAACCA
rnacentral:tRNA from 1 species